GAUGAACGCUGGCGGCGUGCAUAACACAUUCAAGUCGAACGGAGUUAUUGAUUUGGAUCCCUUCGGGGUGAAGAAGCUUUAACUUAGUGGCGGACGGGUGAGUAACGCGUGAGCAACCUGCCUUUGUGAGGGGGAUAACGUCGGGAAACUGACGCUAAUACCGCAUGAUGUAUGAGGAACGCAUGUUUUUCAUACCAAAGAUUUAUCGCACAAAGAUGGGCUCGCGUCUGAUUAGGUAGUUGGUAAGGUAACGGCUUACCAAGCCUACGAUCAGUAGCCGGACUGAGAGGUUGAACGGCCACAUUGGAACUGAGAUACGGUCCAGACUCCUACGGGAGGCAGCAGUGGGGAAUAUUGGGCAAUGGGCGCAAGCCUGACCCAGCGACGCCGCGUGAGGGAAGAAGGUCUUCGGAUUGUAAACCUUUGUUGACAGGGACGAUAAUGAC
rnacentral:rRNA from 1 species